GUUUAUGGACCUUUAUUCUAUUUAUUAUUAUUAUUAUUAUUAUUAUUUAAAUAUUUAGUUUUUAAUUGUAUUGGACACCAUACACUUAUUUUAUUUAUUUUUAUGUGGUUCUGAGGAUCAAACCCAGCACAUGCAAAGCAAGCGCUCUGCCACUGAGCCUCAACCUCAGCCCCAAUUUUAUUUAUUAUUUAUAUAUGAUACUGAGAAUCAAACCAGAGCCUCACACAUGCUAGGCAUGCUCUGCCACUGAGCCCCAGCCCUAGCUCAUUCAUCCAUUUUUAAGUUGGUCUUUUUUGUUUUAGCUUUUAAGCUGUGUCCUUUUUAUACUCUGUAUGUAGGUCCCUUUUCAGCCAUAUGAGUUGUAAAAAUCUUCUGUGACUGUAUUGGUUUUCAUUUUCCUUCCCUCUGUACUGGGGCUUGAAUCCAGGGGAGCUCUGCCACUGAGCUACAUCCUCAGCCCCUUUUCAUUUUUUAUUUUGAGGCAGGAUUUUGCUAAGUGGCUGAGACCAACCUUGAACUUGGUAUCCUCUGCCUCAGUGUCCAGAGUUGCCUGGUUUAUAGAUGUGUGCCACCAUGCCCAGUUUGAAGUUUAAAUUAUUAUGAGUUUGAUUUCUCUCUUUUUUCUUAGUUGCUUGUGCAUUUGGUAUGUCAUAUACAGAAAUCAGAGUCACACAGAUUUAUGCCUGUUUUCUUUUAAGAGUUUUAUAAGAUGGGUGCAGUGAUGCACACUUGUAAUCCCAGCAGCUCAGGAGCCUGAGGCAGGAGGAUCAGAAGUUUAAAUCCAGGGUUGUCAACUUAGUGAGAUCCUGUCUCAAAAUAAAAAAUAAAAUAAGCAAUUUUUGGGGGGAGGGGUACUGGGGAUUGAACCCUGGGUACUUAGCCACGGAGCCAUAUCUUACCCCAAAGGUGUCUUGUUUUUGUUUGUUUUAGUUUUGGUACCUUGGAUUGGACCCAGGGGUGCUUAACCACUGAAACUUCCUUAGCCCAUUUUGUUUAUUUUUAAAUUUAGAGAUAGGGUCUCACUAAGUGGCUUAGGGCCUUGUUUAUUUCUGAGGCUGGCUUUGAAUUUGUGAUCCUCCUAUCUCAGCCUCCUGAGUUGCUGGGAUUACAAGUGUGAGCCACUGUACCUGGCAAAAUACACAUUUUUUUUUUUUAAUGCUGGUGAUGUACCUUAAUAUAUACAAAAAAACGAGUUUUAUAAAAGUUUUAUGUUUUAUAUGAAAGUCUUUGAUCUAUUUUGAGUUAAUUUUGUGUAUGAUGAAAGAUAGAGGUCCAACUUCAUUCUUUUGUAUGUGUGUAUAUCCAGUGGUCCCAGCACCAUUUGUUGAAAAGAUUCUUCUCAUGUUGAAUAGUGUUGGUAGCCUCAUGCUUUCAUGGCUACAAAAUAUUCCAUUACAUGAAAGUACCACAUUUUAUUUAUUUGACCGGUUCAGAUGGACAUUGGAUUUAUGGUUUUAAAACAGUGUACUUAUGUAAUCCCAGUGGCUCAGGAGGCUGAGACAGGAGGAUCUCGUGUUCAAAGCCAGCCUCAGCAAAAGUGAGGCACUGAGCAACUCAGUGAGACCUUGUUUCUAAGUAAAAUACAAAAUAGGAUUGGAGAUGUGGCUCAGUGGUCAAGUGCCCCUUAGUUCAAUCCCCAGUACCAAAAAAGAAAGAAAAAAGAAAAAAAAAAAAAAACAACAAAAAGCUCAGUGUACAUCUUUUAUUUUCUGCUAUACUAGGGAUUAAUCCUAGGGCCUCAUCCAUGCCAGGCAAGUGUUCUGAGCUGCCUCUCCAUCCUUUUUUAAAAGUUUUUGAAACAGCAUCUUUCUAAGUUGCCCAGGCUGGUUUCUACCCCUUGAUCUUUCUACUUCAGUCUCCUGAGUAGCUGGGAUUAAGGGAGAAUGCCACUGCAUCCAGCUACCAAGUUGUGCAGUAUAGGUGAGUCCAACAGAUAGACGGCAGACUUUCUUUAGUCACUUGCUUAUCUGACUAAUGAAAAAAAUCUAAUUUUUCUUUUUUAUUUAUUUUUUAGUGCCGGGAAUUGAACUCAGGGGCACUCAACAACUGAGCCACAUCCCCAGCCCUAUUUUGUAUAUUUUGAGACAGGGUCUCACUGAGUUGUUUAAUGCCUCCUUGUUGCUGAGGCUGGCUUUGAACUCAUGAUCCUGUCUCAGCUUCCUGAGCUGCUGGGAUUAUAGGCGUGCACCACUGUGCCCAGCCUAAUUUUUUAAAAAUUCGCAUUCUUUGGGGCUGGGAUUGUAGCUUAGUGGUGGAGCACUUGCCUAGCAUGUGUGUGAGGCGCUGGGUUCCAUUCUCAGCAUCACAUAUAAAUAAAUAAAUAUUUAAAAUAAAGGUCCAUCAACAACUAAAAAUAUUUAUUAAAAAAAGUUUUGCAUUCUUUGAUUAUGAACAAAAGUGGGAUCAUUUCACAGAAUAACUGAUCAUUUCUUUUUUCAUCUGUUAUGGAAUUUGUAUGUGUGUGUGGUGCUGGGGAUCAAACUUUGGGCC
rnacentral:lncRNA from 1 species